CAGCCGCCGCGGGAAAACGAAGGGGGCUAGCGUUGUUCGGAAUUACUGGGCGUAAAGCGCACGCAGGCGGCUCGAUAAAUUAGAAGUGAAAGCCUUGGGCUUAACCUGAGAAUUGCUUUUAAGACUGUCGGGCUAGAAUCCAGAAGAGGGUAGUGGAAUUCCGAGUGUAGAGGUGAAAUUCGUAGAUAUUCGGAAGAACACCAGUGGCGAAGGCGACUACCUGGUCUGGCAUUGACGCUCAUGUGCGAAAGCGUGGGGAGCAAACAGGAUUAGAUACCCCCGUAGUCCCUGUCUCUUAUAC
rnacentral:rRNA from 1 species